AACCCUGUAGACCCGAAUUUGAUGAUGAAAAUGAAAUCAAAAUCGAGCUUACAAGGUAUA
rnacentral:pre_miRNA from 1 species